rnacentral:tRNA from 1 species
GCCCCCAUAGCGCAGCGGAUAGCGCGUCUGACUUCGGAUCAGAAGGUCGCAGGUUCGAAUCCUGCUGGGGGUA